AGCAUAUCAAUAAGCGGAGGAAAAGAAACUAACAAGGAUUCCCAUAGUAGCGGCGAGCGAAGUGGGAAGAGCCCAGAACCGAAUCCCAAUGGGCCCUGUCUGUUGGGAGUUGUGGUGUUUGGUUCACUUCUUACGGCAUGUUGGAGUCGUCUUAAGUCCACGUGAUUGUGGCAUUCAAGCCCAGAGAGGGUGUAAGGCCCGUAAAGGCGAUACAGCGUGCUCACGGAAGUGUUCCUAGAGUCGGGUUGUUUGGGAAUGCAGCCCAAAGUGGGUGGUAAGCUCCAUCCAAGGCUAAAUAUAACGUGAAUCCGAUAGCGAACAAGUACCAUGAGGGAAAGUUGAAAAGAACUUUGAAGAGAGAGUUCAAUAGUGCGUGAAACCGCUCAGAGGUAAACGGGCAGAGCUGAAGGAGGCAUGUGCAUUUGCGCUUUCCGGCUGUCAUGCUGGCAUUCAUUAGGAGAUUAUUCUGGCCCGCGCGUUCUUUAUGGGGCGUGUGUGUGUCCGGAACUCCAAUGCCAGUGUGCGCUAGCUGGUCUGUGCUACUUGUACGUGUCGGCACCACGAUCGGUGGCUAGAGCAGCCUAUCAUGACUGGGCAAGGUAGCUUAACGUCUCAACCACGCUGAGCACUUAUAGGCCUGUUGUAUAGCGCCUGCUCGAACACCGUGCUAGUGCGAUGCAAGUCAUGGCAGUGCUGACGUUGCGGCUGGCUGGACUGGUGCUAUGCUGUCUCGCUUAAAAGAGACCGCGUAGUUUGCAAGGCUGGCGGGCUGCAGCCUCUGGGUACUGCCGCGCGCAUCAAUACGUGGUGAUAAUGUAAGUAAUCUGCCCGACCCGUCUUGAAACACGGACCAAGGAGUUUAACAUGUGCGCGAGUCAUUGGGUGCAUACGAAACCUAAAGGCGCAGUGAAGGUGAAGGUUGGUGACUCCAAAUCAGAGUCGCCGGCUGAGGUAGGAUCCUGGUGGAUGAUGUGCUCUCAUGCGCACACACGCUGGGCGCACUACCAGCUCGUCCAUUGCUUUAUUAAGCGGGGCGACGCAAGAGCGCACACGUUGAGACCCGAAAGAUGGUGAUCUAUGCUUGCGUAGGCUGAAGCCAGAGGAAACUCUGGUGGAGGGCCGUAGCGAUUCUGACGUGCAAAUCGAUCGUCAAACGUGAGUAUAGGGGCGAAAGACUAAUCGAACCAUCUAGUAGCUGGUUCCCUCCGAAGUUUCCCUCAGGAUAGCUGGCACUCGGGAAGCAAACAGUUUUAUCCGGUAAAGCGAAUGAUUAGGAGUAUUGGGGAAAAAUAUUCCUCAACUUAUUCUCAAACUUUAAAUGGGUGAGAAGCCAGACUCUCUUAAUUGGAGUCUUGGCAUGUGGAAUGUGAGUGCCCAGUGGGCCAUUUUUGGUAAGCAGAACUGGCGCUGUGGGAUGAACCAAACGUGCGGUUAAGGAGCCUAACACAACGCUCAUGAGAUACCACAAAAGGUGUUGGUUGAUUUAGACAGCAGGACGGUGGCCAUGGAAGUUGGAAUCCGCUAAGGAGUGUGUAACAACUCACCUGCCGAAUCAACCAGCCCUGAAAAUGGAUGGCGCUGGAGCGUUGGUCCUAUACCGCACCGUUACUGCAAGUCGCACGCAAGGACGCAGUAACGAGUAGGAGGGCGGCGUGGUGAGCAUUGAAGCUUCGGUCGUGAGACUGGGUGGAGCCGCCACGGGUGCAGAUCUUGGUGGUAGUAGCAAAUAUUCAAGUGAGAACCUUGAA
rnacentral:rRNA from 1 species